AGCUCCAAUAGCGUAUAUUAAAGUUGCUGCGUUUAAAAAGCUCGUAGUUGGAUCUCAGUCUCGAUCGAGCGGUCCAUCUUCCGAUGGUACUGCGCGAAUCGGACAUUCCGCCGCGUUUCUCCUCAUGCCCUUAACUGAGUGUGAGGGGAGAGUGGUACGUUUACUUUGAAAAAAUUAGAGUGCUCAAAGCAGGCCUGACACGCCUGAAUAUUAGUGCAUGGAAUAAUGGAAUAGGACGUCGUUUCUAUUUUGUUGGUUUUCGGAAAUUGACGUAAUGAUUAAUAGGGACAGUCGGGGGCAUUAGUAUUCAGACGACAGAGGUGAAAUUCUUAGACCGUCUGAAGACUAACUACUGCGAAAGCAUUUGCCAAGAAUGUUUUCAUUAAUCAAGAACGAAAGU
rnacentral:rRNA from 1 species